ACAAUGUUUUAGCUUAUUGGCAGUGUCACUGGGCUAUAAAAACGGGAACAUGCGCGUUAUCUGGGAUGCGUCAUUUGGGGAACUGUUGCGUCGUUAACGCGCUUCCGUCACUUCCCGGAACUGGAUGUGAGUGCUCGACACGAGACUGCAACUUGGUUGGAGAGCAGUUCUACCUGGACUCGGCGAGUUUUGCUGCAAUGUCGUUUAUUAUUGUUUACAUGUAGUGGGUGUAGACAUCGAAGAAGCUGUGAGAACCAGAUGCACUUGCUGGGUCGCUGUUUUCUUUACCGGCGUUUGCUUGAAAAGACUCUAUUUGUUGGCUCUUUAUAGAAACGUUAAUCCCUGCAAUUGGUAAGUAUUCAUGCACACGCAUAUGAUGGUGAGAGAAUAUAUCUAACAGAGUAACAGUCUCGCUUUAUCUAUAGGUGUUGUGACGGCCGUAACUGCAAUCUAUUCGGGGUGCUCCGCGUUUGUUAUGGCUGCAGUGCUGUCCUGUUUCCAGUUUCUAAUUUUCUUUCUUCGUUAAUUUUUCUUUUCUGACUGCUUUAUAUCUUGUAUAUAUCUAUAUAUAUACAAUAUAUCUAUAUCUUAUAUCUAUAUUUUGUUUGCUCUUUUCAGUUGUAUUAAUACUAUUUUGUCUUUGAAGCUUGAAUCAUUUCAGUUUAAAUUCCAAUUAUUAUAUUUUUGUGACUUUCUUUAGUCUAUUUCUGCUUGUUUCUUUAGUUGCAUUAGAUUGCUGUAUUGUUUUUGGGGUUUGAAUUACCUUUGUCUCUAAUUUUGAUUAUAUUUUUGUGAUUCUUUACUUAUUAUUUGAUUUGCUUCCCCCAGUGGCGUUAGAUUUUGUUUUGUGAUUUAUAUCAUUUGUUUAAAGUCUAUUCUGUUUUUUUCUUUUUUUGUUUACUUGUAUUUUGUUGAAAUUUUGACUUUUGCUUUAAGCAAUCAUUUGUUACCAACAUUCAUUUGUGUUAUUUGAUUGGUUGAGUUGCACUACCCAGUCUCUAAAAGUGAUUGUGUGCUUGAUUCUGAUCACUUUUGUCUCGGCAGGGCCUGAGCACCAGGGGCAGAGGACUGGUUUUAGGUGGUGGUAUAUCUCUCACAAGUGUGCAGUGACCACCUCACCGUGUGUGUGUGUGCGUGUGCGCGUGUGGACACAGUAAAGUGCAGUGAUUCACCUACAGGUGGUGUGGUCUGAUUAUCCGUUUUUACUGGUAAGCUCUAGCCCCUGCCCUCGACUUGUUCUAAGAAUCUUAAGUGGCCUGUGUGGCUGGGACAAAUGUGUAAUUGUUUGUUUUUUAAUAUUGUUUUUAAUGAUGUCAAUAAAAUAAUUUUGUACUGUUACCCAUGUCUCUGACUCUAAUUAGUGAUACGAAUCUGUGUAAACAACUAUAAGUGGUUUAUUCUAAUUCUUUGGGUGAAACUCCCAAAGUGGCGUAGUCGGAGUGAGUUUGACAUCUUAUAAUUUCCACUGUAUUUAAAAUAAAAGUCCUUAUUGCCCUCG